UACGUAGGGCGCAAGCGUUGUCCGGAUUUACUGGGUUUAAAGGGUGCGUAGGCGGCUAGGUAAGUCGGCGAUGAAAUGUCAGGGCUUAACCUUGGCGCUGUUGUCGAUACUGCUUAGCUAGAGUUUUGGCGAGGUAGCUGGAAUGAGCGGUGUAGUGGUGAAAUACGUAGAGAUCGCUCAGAACACCGAUUGCGUAGGCAGGUUACUAGCCAAGGACUGACGCUGAGGCACGAAAGCGUGGGGAGCAAACAGG
rnacentral:rRNA from 1 species